UCCCUGGUGGCUCAGACAGUAAAGUGUCUGCCUACAAUGUGGGAGACCUAGGUUCAAUUCCUGGCUCAGGAA
rnacentral:tRNA from 1 species